ensembl:snoRNA
CCUGUGUGAUGACAAAGUUGAGACGGAUUCUGUCAUGAAGGCUCAUAUUAGCUCUAGCUGACC